UACGUAGGUGGCGAGCGUUGUCCGGAUUUACUGGGCGUAAAGGGCGUGCAGGCGGUUUGUUAAGUGCAGGGUGAAAGCUCCCGGCUCAACUGGGAGAGGUCCUUGCAUACUGGCGAACUCGAGGGAGGCAGAGGAAAGUGGAAUUCCCGGUGUAGUGGUGAUAUGCGUAGAUAUCGGGAGGAACACCGGUGGCGAAGGCGGUUCUCUGGGCCUGUACUGACGCUGAGGAGCGAAAGCGUGGGGGAGCGAACAGG
rnacentral:rRNA from 1 species